CACAAAAACAUAUAUGUUAUGUGUUAAUGAAAAUUUAGCUGACAUUGAAGGAUAGUUGAAAGUUUCUAGGUACGGUCUUGUCAGUGCAAGUGAUAGAUGAGCUUCAAGGUAGAUGCAUUGUAAUUCAAGCCACAGAGAAACGCCAUGUAGUCUGAUUUGCCUAAUUAAUAGACAAGUCCUGGAUUUAAAGCUGCUAUUGGGUCGACAUGUCCAACUCCAUAAGAAAAUUCGGUCGAUGCAAACCCAGACUCAGUAGCAUUCAUCGGCCAAGCUGCAAAGUGUAGUUAAAAGACUGAAUAAGAGCAGAGUUAUCAGCAUAAAUGUUACUUGCGGGACAAGAAAGUAAAAGAUGGAUAUGACUUUUGUUUACCGGUUGAUACCAUUCAGGAUGAAAUGUCUUGGGGUAAGCAGCCACGCCUGCAACGUGUGGACAAGCCAUUGAUGUUUCUGAGGUAACAGAGUAGUUCACACGUCAUUUGUCCCACUUUUGUGAAGAUUGGGAAACCAAAGGUAAACAAGCAGCGAGGAUUUCCACUCUUGGGGCUGUUAUAUCCGGCUGCAAUUCAAUCAACCAUUGUCUCUCAAACCGGGAAACAAAAGGGAACUAACCAAUUGAAAAAUUGUAAUUAGCCAAACUUGUAUGUCAAGGAUCUAAUAAAAGCCCAAAACUACAAAAGCUCAAAAACUUAUUUCUAUAUAUAUAUAACUCAGUCUAGGGUUUUCGUCCUCCAAUAUUUCUAUCGAAAACUUAGCAGUCGCUCUUCCCUUCUCAUCUUAUAUUCUCCAUGGGCGAGAGGCUUUUGAAAUGCUCCACAUCCACCGAUGUUGAAGCUACCACAGAGCCGUCGCAGAAUGCUCCAGAUGAUUUGGAGCAGCAAGUAUUUCCGAAGAAGCAAAAAAAGGU